rnacentral:rRNA from 1 species
UUCUUAAUACCCAAGGUUUUAGCAAACAGGAUGUUCGGGAAUUACAAAAUAUUUUCGAAAAUAGGUUUGGUAUAAUAAGUUCUACAAAAGAAGUUCCAGGAGGCAGACAAGUAAAUAUAGGAGGAAAAUCGGGAGAAAAAUUUCUCAGAAUUAUUGAAUCCCUAGUGAUUCCUUCAUUAAAAUACAAAAUUCCAAGAGUUUUAAGGUUAACAGAAUUGCCUAAAGAGUAAUGGAGGCGUUUAAAGGUUGGCUAGCUUCGGAUGGAAAUCGAAGCGAUAGGGCAAAGCCAUAAGCCAGCUUUACUGCAAGACGGCUAUGUCGCGCAGUUGCGAAAGCAGAACUUAGUGAACCGACUCAUUUUUAUAGAAAAUGAGAAGAUCAUCAGCCAAAAGCUACUCCGGGGAUAAACUCUGAAAAAAGAGUUCGUUGUCC